AAAAGUGAAAGACGGUCUUGCUGUCACUUAUAGAUGGAUCCGCGCUGCAUUAGCUAGUUGGUAAGGUAACGGCUUACCAAGGCAACGAUGCAUAGCCGACCUGAGAGGGUGAUCGGCCACACUGGAACUGAGACACGGUCCAGACUCCUACGGGAGGCAGCAGUAGGGAAUCUUCCGCAAUGGGCGAAAGCCUGACGGAGCAACGCCGCGUGAGUGAUGAAGGUCUUCGGAUCGUAAAACUCUGUUAUUAGGGAAGAACAUAUGUGUAAGUAACUGUGCACAUCUUGACGGUACCUAAUCAGAAAGCCACGGCUAACUACGUGCCAGCAGCCGCGGUAAUACGUAGGUGGCAAGCGUUAUCCGGAAUUAUUGGGCGUAAAGCGCGCGUAGGCGGUUUUUUAAGUCUGAUGUGAAAGCCCACGGCUCAACCGUGGAGGGUCAUUGGAAACUGGAAAACUUGAGUGCAGAAGAGGAAAGUGG
rnacentral:rRNA from 1 species